AUUGGAGUUUUAAUUUAAUAUCCUCCAAUUCCUGGAUGACAAACUCCUAAUUGAAACCCACGUGUUGGACGUAUCUUCCACAGAUAUUUAUCCAGAAGUACAAAAUCGAAGCACAGUUGAUUGAAACAAUUUAAAAUGCUACUCGAUUAAAACAAUUUAAGUAAUUCUACUCGAUUGAAACAGUUUUAGAUGUAGGUGGGAUUUUGGAGGCAAAAUUGUCACCAACCAGUUGAAAAAAAACAUAACUAUUAUGUUUGUAGGAAUUUAUGUUAUGCA